GUGUAUUGAAAGUAGCGUACAGUAAGCUAGGCAACGGUGGUGGAAACAGUUACGUGGACCAACUCUGAGAUAUUUGGAGAUGGUACUUGAAUCGUAGCCCUCUUGGGGUUAAACUCGAUCGGCCACUCUCUGGACAAUCUUGUUCUUCAUGUCAACAGCAACAACCCAUGCCGUGUGAUCCCUGUUGCGGUAGUCAAUCUUGGCUACUGUAGUAAGUAAAGAAUGCCAUCAUCUGGCAGGCUGAGCUUGGGCAGGCCAAUAUGGAGAGUUGACAAUGUUGGGCGAGCUGUGACACCUCCAGGGACAUUCAGCGUAG
rnacentral:lncRNA from 1 species